rnacentral:lncRNA from 1 species
UAGCCUGAUCAGUUAGACCAACUAGUGAGUUUUUAAACUGUCAUUGCACUACUCCACUCUGUAUAUUAAACCUUAUUUUCUUCUAAAACCUUAGAUCCACUCUUAUCACAACAUUCUCAGUGAAGAUCUGAUCACUAGCAUUUUCAAAGUUCCUUCUUUUUCUUCCCUUCUUAUCAUUUCUGUUUUCUUGAUUUCUCAAGAAAAAACAAUCCAUUUUUUCAUCAUCCUCUUCUUCAAUGGAGAAAGUACAUUUCAGAACUGAAGUCCUCAGCAGACACCUAAGUCAAGAAACUCCAAUACUCAAUCCAAUGCUCCAAUCAUUCCCAUGUCUUAGCUAUAACCCACCUGAGCUUUCAGAACCAUCUUCUGUUUUUGACAUAAAAGAGAUGAGAAAGCUAAUGGAUGGUCACAAUUUUGAUGAAAGGGACUGGCUUUUUGGUCUGAUGUUACAGAGUAAGCUUUUUAACCCAAUAAAAAAGGGUGGAAAAGUGUUUGUUUCCCCUGAUUACAGUCAAUCUAAGGAACAACAAAGGGAAAUUACCAUGAGGAGGAUUGAGUACCUUGUGGAACAUGGGGGUAUCAAGGAAUGGCUUACUGGUAAAGGGUCUGAAAAUGAAUUGAGGAACUUAGCUCGUGCGGAGUGUGUUAGCAUCUUUGAUUAUUCACUUGGCAUCAAGCUUGGAGUCCAUUUGUUCCUAUGGUAUGUUUUUGUUCAUUAUAUGCCUAUUCUUUUAUAUCCGGAGCUUAGUGGCCGGACAAAUUCGAUACCUAUCAGGUAGGUCCCCCUAAGGGAGAAGUUAUCCAUUUCGAGGCUUAAACCCGAGACCUAUGGUUAAGAUAGGGACAUAGGGUUAAGCGUGGAGCCCACUAAGACAUAAAUUUUUCUUUCCCAAGAGUUAGGUCAAGGGUUAGACCUCUAGUUAAGUUCUUCAUUUCCAAGACUUAGUAGAAUCCGACUCCUGUGUUUAAGAGGUGGGAGAUUCCAAGGCUGUAUAAACCCCACAUUAAAUUAUAUUGCAAUACCAAUACCUUGCAAUGGACCACAACAAACCACCAAGCUUAGCAUCCGUCGUUCUAGACGGCUCCACAGUCGGCAGCUUUCACUAGGUAGGUCAGGGCACAGAGGGUGUUUGGUGGAUUUGAUAUCAUUAGUACAAUCCAGAGAGAAUCAUACUUCAAAAGCUAGCUAUUGAGGUGUGGGUAUCCAAGGCUAUAUAAAUCCCACAUCAGCAUAUCGCAAUACGGAUACCGAUGUGGGACUCAAGUUCCAUGCCUUGUAAUGGACCAUACCAUGUUCUCCAUUCCCAAGGCUUAAACCUGAGACCUUGGUUAAAUGUGGAGCCUACUAAGAGAGAAAUUCAUUUUACCACAUCUAUUGGUUGUUCUUUUUCUUGUUUGUUAGAUACAAUUUUAGUAAUCUCUUGCUUAUUACUUACUACAACAACAACAUACCCAAUGUAUUCCCACCUAGUGGGGUGUGGGGAGGGUAGAGUGUACGCAGACCAUACAACUACCUCAAGAGAAGUAGAAAGGCAUAUAAACUAGUGUGGUACACAAAACAAACUAACAGUAUAACAAACACAAAAGAUAAGCGCAUAAUAAACUAGUACGGGAUGCAAAAAAGCCAACACCACUAGCCCCAAAAACUACAGCCACAAACACUACAGACCAGAAACUUCAGACCCAAAUGAGCACUCCCCUAUUACUACCGCCGCACUCCCACCCCCUAACCCUCUACCCUAAUCCGCGUCCUCCACACCUUUCUAUCAAGGAUCAUGUCCUCUGUAAGCUGUAAUUGCUCCAUAUCAUGCCUAAUCACCUCCCUUCAAUAUUUUUUCGGUCUACCUCUAGCCCGCCUAAAACCAUCCAUAGCUAGAGUCUCACACCUCCGCACUGGAGCAUUAGGGCCCCUUCUCAUCACAUGCCCGAACCAACGUAGCCUCACUUCUCGCAACUUAUCCUCCACCGAGGCAACUCCCACCUUACUUAAUGUUCAAAUUAGGUAAAUAAAGCUGGUUCUGUCCUUGAUAUACAAUUUAAGGAAAACGUGUUCCUCUUUCAUCAAUCGUAUUAGUUUUACAAUUGAAUAACUUAUUUCCUAACUCACUAUCAAACAUUGUAUAACUUAUACAAAAAUUCAUACAUAUAUAAGUUGCUUCUUUACUAGCUACCAAACGAACCCUGAAUAUUUUUGUUGUGAAUUAAAUAUGAGAUAAAUUAAUCUGACAUUUUUAAAAAUUAUAUGUCACCUAGCCCACCAACCUUAACUUUGGAGUAUAGCUAAUAACAUUUCUGUUUUCUUGAUUUCCCAUACAAAAUCAAUCCAAUUUUUCAUCCUCUUCUCUUUUCUUGGUGGUCUGAAUUAUAAUACACCAUUUCCUCUUAACUUAUACAUAUAUUAGCUGUACAAGUUUCUAAAUUGCAAAACCUAACGUCAUAUUAGUUUAAACAUGAGAAAUUUAUUUCCUAUUUUGAGCUAGUGAAGUGCAUCAAGGAGGAGGAUGAUACAGUAUUGGUUGAGGAUGUCCUCAUUAGGAAGAGGUGGCAGUCCUAUUUUCAUAAACUUUUGAACGAUGAGGGGAACAAAGGUUUCGUGCUGGGGGACUUGGAGAAUUCUGAGAGGUGUCGCGAUAAUGGUUAUUGUAGGCGUACCAAGGUUGAGGAGGUCAAGGGGGGCUAUUCGCAGGAUGCGUAGGGGGAGGGUGACUGAGCCAGACAAGAUUCCGGUGGAUUUUUGGAAGAGCACUGGCGGGAAAGGUUUGGAGUGGUUGAUAAGGUCGCGUUUAACAUCAUUUUCUGGGCGGCGAAGGUGUCCAAGUGUGGAGGUGGAGUACAAUGAUUCCAUUAUAUAAUAACAAGGGGGACAUCCAGAGUUGCAACAACUAUAGGGGUAUCAAGUUGUUGAGUCCUACUAUAAAGAUUUGAGAAAGGGUGGUAGAGUUGAGGCUGAUGAGGGUUGUGACUGUCUCUGAGAAUCAGUUCGGUUUCAUGUCAGGUCGCUCGACUACUGAGGCCAUUCACCUUAUGAGAAGAUUAGUGGAGCAGUUUCGGGAGAGGAAGAAGGACUUGCACAUGGUGUUCAUUGAUCUUGAGAAGCAUAUGACAGAGUUCCCAGGGAGAUUUUAUGGAGGUGCUUGGAGGCUAGAGGGGUGCCUGUGGCGGACACUAGGUCGAUUCAGGUAAUGUAUGAUGGCGCGAAGACUCGCGUGAGAAUGGUAGGUGGAGAUUCGGAGCACUUUCCGAUUUUGAUAGGGUUGCACUACGGAUCGACUCUUAGCCCAUUUUUAUUUUCUUUGGUGAUGGAUGUUUUGACGCGACGUAUUCAAAGGGAGGUGCCUUGGUGUAUGUUAUUUGCUGAUGAUGUGGUUUUGAUUGACGAGACUCGGGGAGAAGUUAAUGAUAAGUUGGAGAUUUGGAGAUAGACCCUUGAAUCUAAAGGAUUUCGGUUGAGCAGGACCAAGACGGAGUAAUUGGAAUGUAAGUUUAGUGAUGUUUCGCAGGAGGUUGACAUGGUAGUGAAACUAGAUUCUCAGGCUAUUCAGAAAAGGGAGAGUUUCAAGUAUCUGGGGUCGAUGAUUCAAGGGAUUGGUGAGAUUGACAAGGAUGUCACACUCCAUAUUGGUGCAAGGUGGUUGAAAUAGAGACUUGCUUCGGGAGUUUUAUGUGAUAAGAAGGUGCCUCCAAAGCUGAAAGGUAAGUUCUACAGAGUGACAGUCAGACUGGCUCUAUUGUAUGGAGUGGAGUGUUGGCCAGUUAAGAACUUCCGCAUUCAAAUGUUAAAGGUGGCGGAGAUGAGGAUGUUGCGAUGGAUGCGUCCCCUUAUCGGGAAAGAUAGGGUGAGGAAUGAGAUUAUUCGGGAGAAGGCGAGAGUGACUUCGGUAGAGGACAAGAUAAGAGACGUGUGGUUACGUUAGUUCGGGCACGUGAUGAGGAGGGACUUGGAUGCUCCAAUACGGAGAUGUGAGACAUUGGCUAUAGAUGGUUUUAGGCGGGGUAAAGAUACUGGAGGGAGGUGAUUAGGCAUGAUAUGGAGCAGUUACAGCUUACGGAGGACAUGACCCUUGAUAGGAAGGUGUAGAAAACGCGGAUUAGGGUAGAGGUUUAGGGGGUGCGAUUGUGUUGGUAGUAGUAGGGGAGAGUACUUUGUUUGUGUCUGGAAUUUCUUGUUCGUGGUGUUUGAGUGACGUCUAUGAUUUCGAAUAGAUAAUUUAUAGUAUUAUCUUAUGGUUGAAGGGGAGCCUUGGAGUAACCGGUAAAGUUGCUGUCAUGUGAUCAGGAGGUCACGGGUUCAAGCCUUGGAAACAGCCUCUGGCAGAAAUGUAAGGUAAGACUGUGUGCGAUACACCCUUGUGGUGGGGCCCUUCCCUGGACACUGCACUAGUUAGUGCACCGGGCUGCCCCAUUUUAGUAUUAUCUUAUUGUUGUAUUGUUUCCUGUAUUAGCUAGUAGUGUUAGUUUAUUUUGUAUAUUGCAUUAGUUUAUAUGCAUUUAUGUUUUGUGUUUGUUAUACUGUUGUCGGUCCUGAGUCGGGGGUCUAUCGGAAACAGUCUCUCUAUUUCACCUAAGGUAGUGGUAUGGUCUGCGUAUACUCUACCCUCUCUACCCUCCCCAGACCCCUCUAUGUGGGAAUACACUAAGUAUGUUGUUGUUGUAGCUACCAAACAUUGUAUAACUUAUACAAAAAUUAAUACAUGAAUAAGUUGCUGCUCUACUAGCUACCAAACGACCCUAGAAUGUUUAUUAUUGUUGUUGUGAAUUAAAUAUGAGAUAAAAUGAUCUGAGAUUCUUUUUUAAUUAUUAGUCACCUAGCCCACCAACCUUAACUUUGGAGUAUAGCUAAGCAGCCAGAUCAGCAGGGCUGUGCAAAAAUCGAACCGAUCGAUAAAAAUGUUAUUGGGUUAUUGGUAUUGGGUUAUCGGGUUAACUGUUUUUUAUUGGUUUUAUAAAAAAAUUUAUUGGGUAAACGGUUCAGUAUCGGUUGUAGCUUAUUGACCGAUAACCCAAUAAGGAUACACUUAGUUAUUGUUUUAUCCCUAUUUAUGUUAUAUAUUUAAAUAUCUCUCUCUCUUUAUCUAUCUAUAUAGAUUAUAUGCACUACUAAUUCAUAAUUCAGUGAUUCACAAAGUAUUAACCUAUUCAGAGCAACAAAGACACAAUAUAAAGUUCGGCUAUUAUCGUAAUAAAAAGCUUGAAGCAUUUAUAACUUCCAACAAUUAGGAUUCAAUUUUUUUCCUAACUAACAUUCAAUUCAAGUUUGAAGAUUCCAUUGCGUAGGUUUUGGCGGUAAUUAAGAUUUUAUUUUUUUAUGUUAGUUGUUACUAUUGUUAUUUUAUAAGUAUUUUCUUAUUGGUUAAAUUGAAAACCGAACCAUUAAGGACCAAAAACUGAUAAACCGAAACCGAUAAGAAAAUAUCUUAUUGGUUGGUUAUUGGUUUUACAUAUUUAAAAACCGAAAACCGAACCAAUAACACUUAAAACCUAACCGAACCGACCGAAGCCCACCCCUACAGAUCAGUUAGAUCAACUAGUGAGUUUUCACACUGUCGCCAUGUCACCACGCUACACUGAAUUUGAACCUAUACGAAAAAUGCUAUAAGUUGCAAACCAAACGUCGUAUUGGUUUUACACAGGAAUAGCUUAUUUCCUAACUAACUACCAAACAUUGUAUUAACACAAAAGUUACUUCCUGAAUAAGUUGCUUCUUUAGGUGCUACCAAACGACUCCUAAAUGUUUAUUAUUGUUCUUAUGAAUUAAGCAUGUGACAAAAGAAUCUGACAUUCUUUUUUAAUUAUUAAUCACCUUGCCCACCAACCUGAGCUUUGGAGUAUAGCUAAGCAGCCAGAUCAGUUAGACCAAAUAGUGAGUUUUUAAACUUUCAUUCCACCACUCUACAUUGUAUAUUAAACCUUAUUUUCUUCAAAAACCUUAGAUAUUCUUCUUUAAUUAUUAAUCACCUAGCCCACCAACCUGAACUUUGGAGUAUAGCUAAGCAGCCAGAUCAGUUAGACUAAAUAGUGAGUUUUCAAACUGUCAUUUUACCACUCUACACUGUAUAUUAAACCUUAUUUUCUUCUAAAACCUUAGAUAUUCUUCUUUAAUUAUUAAUCACCUAGCCGCCAACACCAACCUGAACUUUGGAGUAUAGCUAAGCAGCCAGAUUAGUUAAGACCAACUAGUGAGUUUUUAAACUGUCAUUUAACCACUCUUCACUAUAUAUUAAACCUUAUUUUCUUCUAAAACCUUAAAUCCAUUCUAUCACAACAUUCUGAUUGAAGAUCCAAUCACUAACAUUUUCAAAGUUCCUUCCUUUUUUCCCCCUCUUAUCAUUACUGUUUUCUUGAUAUCUCAUGGAAAAUCACUCCAUUUUUUCAUCAUCCUCUUCUUCAAUGGAGAAAGUACAUUUUAGAACUAAAGUCCUCAGCAGACACCUAAAUCAAGAAACUCCCAUACUCAAUGCAAUGCACCAAUCAUUCCCAUGUCUUAGCUACAACCCACCUGAGCUUUCAGAACCAUCUUCUGUUUUUGACAUAAAAGAGAUGAGAAAGCUCAUGGAUGGGCACAAUUUGGAGGAAAGGGACUGGUGUUUUGGUUUGAUGUUAAAGAGUAAGCUUUUUAACCCAAUAAAAAGGGGUGGAAAAGUGUUUGUUUCCCCUGAUUACAAUCAAUCUAAGGAACAACAAAGGGAAAUUACCAUGAGGAGGAUUGAGUACCUUGUGGAACAUGGGAGUAUUGAGAAAUGGUUUACCGGUAAAGGGCCUGAAAAUGAAUUGAGGAACUUUGCUCGCGGAGAGUGUGCUAGUAUCUUUGAUCAUUCACUUGGCAUCAAGCUUGGAGUCCAUUUGUUCCUAUGGUAUGUUUUUGUCCAUUAUAUGCCUAUUUUUUAAUAUCCGGAGGUUAGUGGCCGGACAAAUUCGAUACCUAUCCGGUAGGUCCCACCCAAGGGAGAAGUUACCCAUUUCGAGGCUUAAAACCCGAGAUCUAUGGUUAAGGUAGAGGCAUCGGAUUAAGCGUGCAGCCCACUAAUAGAUAAAUUCAUCAUUCCCAAGAGUUGAACCCUUGACCUAUGGUUAAGGGUUAGACCUCUAGUUAAGAAGUUUUUCAUUUCCAAAACUUAGUAGAACCCGACUCAUGUAUUUAUUCUUCAUUCCCAAGAGUUGAACCCCUGAUUAAGGAUUAGACCUCCAGUUAAGAAGUUCCUCAUUUCCCAGACUUAGUAAAACCCGACUCACGUGGUUAAGUGUAAGACCUUUGGUUAAGUGUGAAGGGAUCAUAUCCACCACCACACCUCUUGGUGGUUUGAAUGAUAAAUUGCUAUAUUGGUUGUUGUUCUUGUUUGUUUUUCACUCAAAUUAGUUGGGAUCAGAUAUAUGAAUCGACUUUGUCUAUUUCAGAGAACUCAGAGUUCCGCUUUUUCUAUGGUUGUCAAAAGAUAUAAUUUUUGCAUAGGAUUAAGAAAAAUCCAAGUAGACAUUAAAUUUUCCUAUACGGACAUUCUUGAUUGCUUGAUUGAUUGGUUAAAGAAAGCUUACUUGGCAACUUUUGACCACCACCACCACCAAUAACUUACCCAGUGUAGUCCUCAUUGGGGUCUGUGGAGGGUACAAUGUACAUAAACCUUACCCCUACCUUUGUGGGGCAGAUAGUUUGUCUCCGAUAGACCCUUAGCUCGAAAGAGAAGUUUUUAAAGCAAGGAAAAUGCAAUAGAAAAAUAGCAAUAUCGCAAGAUACAAAGCAAAUGAAACAACAGAUAGUACCACACAUACAUUGAAGAACAAGAAACUAAGUGAAUGCUAACUAGUACUACCACUACUAAUAGGAGGGGAGUGAAUGAGGCCAACCCCUUGCCUCUUCCACACAUUGUAACACUUGACUACCUACUAACCGUCUACUCUAAUUCUCAACCUCCAUACCGUUCUAUCUAGGGUCAUCUCCUCAAUAAGCUAGAAUUGAGUCAUGUUAUGUCUAAUUAUCUCUCCCUAAUAACUUCUGCUCUACCACAAAGUAGGUAGGGUGAGCACAGAGGGUGGUGGGUGGCUCUGAUACCGUUGUUCGUUGAUACAAUCCAAGGAAAAUCUUAUCCCAAAAGAUAGCUAUUGAGGUCUGAGAACCCAAGGCUACAGAAACCUAAUGCCGAUGUGGAAAUCAAAUCUCGUACCCUGCGAUGGACAAUACCAAGUUCUCCCUUCUCGAGGCUUAAAGCUGAAACCUCUGACUAAAUACAGAGCCUACUAAGAGAAGUUCUUCAUUUCCAAGGCUCUAUGGUUAAGCGUGGAAGGAUCUCAUUUAUUCCACCUCACCUCUUGGUUAUUCUUGUUCUUAUUUGUUUUUCCCCUUAACUUAGCUGGGCUCAAUUGUUUGUAAUUUACAUUAGAUACUCUUUCUAAUUUGAAAAAAACUUGUUAUUGAAUAAAUUAUAAAUACUUGUAUGCUUAUAAAUUUUAUUUUUUUUAAAAAUAAAUAAUUUAAAUUACUUUUAAAUAUAUAAAGAUAUCAUUUUUUUAAAUUAAUUUAAAUUACAAAGUAUAUGAUAUAAAUUAGAAAGUCGUUUGGUUACAUUGAUGGGAUAUAUAGGAAUCUUUCAUGAGAUCCAUUAUCCCACCUUUUAUAUGAAAUUAACUAAUUUCACCAUUUUGUAAAAAAUUAUUUUCAGAACUAAUUAAUAUCCAUAUUCAAAUAUGACACUGAGGAGUCGUUAGUAGCUGGUUAAAAUUAUGCAGGUAUAUAGCUAUUCUAUCCUCUACACCGUAUAGGAUAAGACACCAAUUUCCUCAUAACUUAUACAUGUAUUAGUUUUUUAAUAAUCGUGGUGUCCGGGCCAGCUUGCGCAUAUUCUAUCCUCUACACCGUAUAGGAUAAGACACCAAUUUCCUUGUAACUUAUACAUGUAUUAGUUUUUUAAUAACUGUGGUGUCCGAGGCAGCUUGCGUACACCCCGACUAAUUCCACGGGAUACCUGCCACCUCCCACCAGCAACAGGUACCAGGUAACUCUGUCCACCAAGGCUAGAACAGAUGAAAAGAAAUCAGUUAGUGUUUGUCUCCGUUGGGAAUUAAACCUGUGACCUCAUGAUGACCUCAUGGUGCUCAAUCCAACUUCAUUGAACCACUAGGCCACACCCUUGGGUGCUAUAUAUGUAUUAGUUACGAGUUUCUAAAUUGCAACCAAACGUCAUAUCAGUGUUAAACAUGAAUGACUUAUUUCCUAACUAACUGCCAGACAUUGUAUAACUUAUACAAAAAUUAGUACAUGUAUAAAUUGCUUCUUUACUAGCUACCAAACAAGCUCUGAUUGUUUUUUAUUGUAGUUGUUAGUCAACUAUGAUGUAAAAUAGUCUGACCUUUUGAAUUUUCAGCUAUUGAUGUAGCCUCUUUGGAUGCUGAUCUAGAAUCCUUAUUUUUUUAAAUAUUAACAACCACCUAGCCCACCAACUUUGACCAUGGAAUAUAACUAAGUAGCCAGAUCAGUUAGACCAAAUAUUAAGUUUCCACACUGUCAUGCCACCACUCUACAUUGUUUUUUUUCCCUUCUUAUCACUUCUGUUUUCUUGAUUUCUCAUACAAAAUCAAUCAUCACUUCAAUGGAGAAAGUGAGUUUCAGAAUAGAAGUCCUCAGCAGACACCUAAGUCAAAAAACAUCAACUCCCAAGUAUACAUUCCAAUCAGUCCCAUGUCUUAGCUACAAGCCACCUGAGCUUUCAGAACCAUCUGCUGUUUUCAACAUAAAAGAGAUGAGAAAGCUCGUGGAUGGUCACAAUUUGAAGGAAAGGGAGUGGCUUUUUGGUCUGAUGUUACAAAGCAAUCUUUUUAACCCAAUAGAAAGGGGUGGCAAAGUGUUUGUUUCCCAUGAUUACAGUCAGUCUAAGGAACAACAAAGGGAAAUUACCAUGAGGAGAAUUGAGUACCUUCUUGAACAUGGGGUUUUCAAGAAAUGGUUUACUGGUAAAGGGCCUGAAAAUGAGUGGAGGAAGUUAGCUUUCUCGGAUUGUGUUGGCGUCUUUGAUUAUUCACUUAGCAUCAAGCUUGGAGUCCAUUUGACCCUAUGGUAUGUUCUUGUCCAUUGUGUGCCUAUUUUUAAUAUCCGGAAGUUAGUGGCCUAACUAAUUUGCAUACCUCUCCGGUAGGUCCCAACUAAGGGAGAAGUUAUCUAUUCUCGAGGCCUGAACUCGAGACGUAUGGUUGAGGGGGAGACAUUUGGUUAAGUGUGGCGUCCACUAAGAGAUAAGUUCUUCAUUCCCGAGAGUUGAACCCUUGGCCUAUGGUUAAGGGUUAGAAUUGUAGUUAAGACUUAAGAGGUUCUUCAUUUCUAAGACUUGGUAGAACCCGACUCUUGUGGUUAAGUGCAAAACUUUGGUUAAGUGUGAAGGGGGUCACCUCCAUCCCACCUCACCUCUUGAUGGUCCGAAUGAUAAAUUGCUAUAAUGGUUGUUGUUACUGUUUGUUUUUCACUCAAAUUAGUUGGGAUCAAAUAUAUGAAUCGGCUUUGUCUAUCUCAGAGAACUCAUAAUUCCACUCUUUUUACUAUGGUUGUCAUAAGACAUUAUUAUUGAAUAGGAAUAAGAAAGAGUAUAAGUAGACAUUAAAUUUUCCUGUACGGACAUUCUUGAUUGCUUGAUUGAUUGGUUAAAGAAAGCUUACUUGGCAACUUUAGACCACCCAUCUGUGGAGGGUAGGAUGUACGCAAACCCUACCCCUGCCUUUGUGGGGUAGAUAGUUUGUUUCCGGUAGACCCUUGGCUCAAAACAAAAGUUUUUUAAGCAAGGAAAAUGCAAUAGAAAAAUAGCAAAAUAGCAAGAUACAAAGCAAAUGAAACAACAGACGGUACCACACAUUGAAAAAUAAGAAACAAAGCAAAUGCUAACUAGUACUACCACUACUAAUAGGAGGGGUAUUAUAUAAUUUUUUGAAUUAAUUUAAAUUGAAAAGUAUUAUAUAAAUUAGAAAGUCGUUUGUUUACAUUGAUGGGAUGUAUAAGAAUAUUUCAUGAGAUCCAUUAUCCCACCUUUUGUAUGAAAUUGCUAAUUUCACCAUUUUGUACAAAAUUAUUUUUGGAGCUAAUCAACAUCUAUAUUCAAAUAUGUAUAAAUUAGAAAGUCGUUUGUUUACAUUGAUGGGAUGUAUAAGAAUAUUUCAUGAGAUCCAUUAUCCCACCUUUUAUAUGAAAUAGCUAAUGUCACCAUUUUGUACAAAAUUAUUUUCGGAGCUAAUCAACAUCCAUAUUCAAAUAUGAGACUGAGUUGUUGUUCGGUAGCUGGUUAGAAUUAUGCAGGUAUUAGCUAUUCUAUCCUCUACUCCGUAUAAGAUAAUACACCAAUUCCCUCAUAACUCAUACAUGUAUUAGUUACGAGUUUCUAAAUUGCAAACCAAACUUCAUAUUAGUUUUAAUCACGAAUAAUUUAUUUCCUAAUUAACUACCAAACAUUGUAUAACUUAUACAAAAUUUAAUAAAUAUAUAAAUUGCUUCUUUACUAGCUACCAAACGACGACUGAUUGUUUGUUAUUGUAGUUGUCAGUCAACUAUGAGGUAAAAUAAUCAGACAUUUUGAAAUUUUCAGCUAUUGAUGUAGCCUCUUUGGAUGCUGAUCUAGAAUCCUUAUUUUUUAAAUUAUUAACAACCACCUAGCCCACCAACUUUGACCAUGGAAUAUAACUAAGUAGCCAGAUCAGUUAGACCAAAUAUUAAGUCUCCACACUGUCAUGCCACCACUCUACAUAGUUUUUUUCCCUUCUAUCAUUUCUGUUUGCUUGAUAUCUCAUACAAAAUCAAUCAUCACUUCAAUGGAGAAAGUGAAUUUCAGAAUAAAAGUCCUCAGCAGACACCUAAAUCAAGAAACAUCCACACCCAAGUUUAUACUCGAAUCGUUUCCAUGUCUUAGCUACAAGCCACCUGAGCUUUCAGAACCAUCUGCUGUUUUCGACAUAAAAGAGAUGAGAAAGCUCGUGGAUGGUCACAAUUUGGAGGAAAGGGACUGGCUUUUUGGUCUGAUGUUACAAAGCAAUCUUUUUAACCCAAUGGAAAGGGGUGGCAAAGUGUUUGUUUCCCCUGAUCACAGUCAGUCUAAAGAACAACAAAGGGAAAUUACCAUGAGGAGAAUUGAGUACCUUCUUGAACAUGGGGUUUUUAAGAAAUGGUUUACUGGUGAAGGGCCUGAAAAUGAGUUGAGAAAGUUAGCUUUCUCGGAUUGUAUUGGCGUCUUUGAUCAUUCACUGGGCAUCAAGCUUGGAGUCCAUUUGACCCUAUGGUAUGUUCUUGUCCAUUGUGUGCCUAUUUUUAAUAUCCGGAAGUUAGUGGCCUGACUAAUUUGAAUACCUCUCGGGUAGGUCCCAACUAAGGGAGAAGUUAUCUAUUCUCGAGGCCUGAACUCGAGACGUAUGGUUAAGGGGAAGACAUCUGGUUAAGUGUGGCGUCCACUAAGAGAUAAGUUCUUCAUUCCCGAGAGUUGAACCCUUGGCCUAUGGUUAAGAGUUUGAAUUGUAGUUAAGAGGUUCUUCAUUUCUAAGACUCGGUAGAACCCGACUCUUGUGGUUAAGUGCAAGAUCUUUGGUUAAGUGUGAAGGGGUCACCUCCAUCCCACCUCACCUCUUGGUGGUCCGAAUGAUAAAUUGCUAUAAUGGUUGUUGUUACUGUUUGUUUUUCGCUCAAAUUAGUUGGGAUCAGAUAUAUGAAUCGGCUUUGUCUAUCUCAGAGAACUCAUAGUUCCAUUCUUUUUACUAUGGUUGUCAAAAGAUAUAAUUUUUGAAUAGGAAUAAGAAAGAAUACAAGUGACAUUUAAUUUUCCUGGACGGACAUUCUUGAUUGCUUGAUUGAUUGGUUAAAGAAAGUAUGCUUGGCAACUUUAGACCACCAGUCCGUGGAGGGUAGGAUGUACGCAAACCCUACCCCUGCCUUUGUGGGGUAGAUAGUUUGUUUCCGUUAGACCCUUGGCUCAAAACAGAAGUUUUUUAAGCAAGGAAAAUGCAAUAGAAAAAUAGCAAGAUACAAAGCAAAUGAAACAACAGAUAGUACCGCACAUUGAAAAAUAAGAAACUAAGGGAAUGCUAACUAGUACUACCACUACUAAUAGGAGGGGUAUUAUAUAAUUUUUUGAAUUAAUUUAAAUUAAUAAGUGUGAUAUUAAUUAGAAAGUCGUUUGUUUACAUUGAUGGGAUGUAUAAGAAUAUUUCAUGAGAUCUAUUAAUCCCACCUUUUGUAUGAAAUUGCUAAUUUCACCAUUUUGUACAAAAUUAUUUUCGGAACUAAUCAACAUCCAUAUUCAAAUAUUCUAAUACGACACUGAGGAGUUGUUCGGUAGCUGGUUAGAAUUAUGCAUGUAUUAGCUAUUCUAUCCUCUACUCCAUACAAGUUAAUACAUCAAUUUCCUCAUAACUUAUACAUGUAUUAGUUACGAGUUUCUAAAUUGCAACCAAAUGUCAUAUCAGUGUUAAACAUGAAUGACUUAUUUCCUAACUAACUGCCAGACAUUGUAUAACUUAUACAAAAAUUAGUACAUGUAUAAAUUGCUUCUUUACUAGCUACCAAACAAGCUCUGAUUGUUUUUUAUUGUAGUUGUUAGUCAACUAUUAUGUAAAAUAAUCAGACCUUUUGAAAUUUUCAGCUAUUGAUGUAGCCUCUUGUGGAUGCAGAUCUAGAAUCCUUAUUUUUUUAAUUAUUAUUAACCACCUAGCCCACCAACCUUGACCAUGGAAUAUAACUAAGUAGCCAGAUCAGUUAGACCAAAUAUUAAGUUUCCACACUGUCAUGCCACCACUCUACAUUGUUUUUUUCCCUUCUUAUCAUUUCUGUUUUCUUGAUUUCUCAUACAAAAUCAAUCAUCACUUCAAUGGAGAAAGUGAGUUUCAGAAUAGAAGUCCUCAGCAGACACCUAAGUCAAAAAACAUCAACUCCCAAGUAUACACUCCAAUCAGUCCCAUGUCUUAGCUACAAGCCACCUGAGCUUUCAGAACCAUCUGCUGUUUUCAACAUACAAGAGAUGAGAAAGCUCAUGGAUGGUCACAAUUUGGAGGAAAGGGAGUGGCUUUUUGGUCUGAUGUUACAAAGCAAUCUUUUUAACCCAAUAGAAAGGGGUGGCAAAGUGUGUGUUUCCCAUGAUUACAGUCAGUCUAAGGAACAACAAAGGGAAAUUACCAUGUGGAGAAUUGAGUACCUCCUUGAACAUGGGGUUUUCAAGAAAUGGUUUACUGGUAAAGGGCCUGAAAAUGAGUUGAGGAACUUAGCUAUCGCGAGUUGUAUUGGCGUCUUUGAUCAUUCACUUGGCACCAAGCUUGUAGUCCAUUUGUUCCUGUGGUAUGUUCUUGUCCAUUGUGUGCCUAUUUCUAAUAUCCGGAACUUAGUGGCCUGAGUAAUUUGAAUACCUCUCGGGUAGGUCCCAACUAAGAGAUGCGUCAUCCAUUCUCGAGGCUUGAACUCGUGACGUUUGGUUAAGGGGGAGACAUCUGGUUAAGUGUGGAGCCCACUAAGAGAUAAGUUCUUGAAUUCCUGAGAGUUGAACCCUUGGCCUAUGGUUAAGGAUUAGACCUCUAGUUAAGAAGUUUCAGCUCCCCCUCAUUCGUUACGUUACUGAAUUUGCACUCCAGUACUCUGUUUUAGUCCUGGUCGAUCUGCCCUUUAAACUCUCGGGCCCGUUUCCAAACUUCUAGCCUGUCGUUAGCUCCACUGCGCAUCUUAACCAUCAAUGCAGGCAUUCUUGAUUGCUAGAUCGACUUGUAACUACCUAAGUAGACAUUAUUUUUUCUGUACAAACAUUCUAUGAUAUUUUCCAUCAAAACUUUUCAGUAUCUGCAUAUCAGCGGACUUUCUUGAAAAUUACUUGGUUGGAUGAUUCUUUUUGUUGGUGGUCCACCUACGCCACAAAAAAAGCAAAUCUACGAAUGAGUAAGAAGAACCUAAAUAGAUGAAACUAUUUGUAGUGACAAUCUUGAUUGGUUGGUUGUCGUUGCAUAAAUUCAAUUUCCAGGUUAGCAGAAUAUCAUUGAGCUUUUUGUUAAUUGAUCCAGGGGC